AAUGAACGCUGGCGGCGCGCCUAAUACAUGCAAGUCGAGCGAGAAGACGUAGCAAUACGUUUGUAAAGCGGCGAACGGGUGAGAAUACAUGGGUAACCUACCCUAGAGUGGGGAAUAACUAGCCGAAAGGUUAGCUAAUACCGCGUACGCUCCUUGGACUUCGGUUCAGGGAGGAAAGCGAUGCCGAGGGUAUCGCGCUCUUGGAUGGACUCAUGUCCUAUCAGCUUGUUGGNGAGGUAACGGCUCACCAAGGCUUCGACGGGUAGCUGGUCUGAGAGGACGAUCAGCCACACUGGCACUGCGACACGGGCCAGACUCCUACGGGAGG
rnacentral:rRNA from 1 species